UACGGAGGGUGCAAGCGUUAUCCGGAUUUACUGGGUUUAAAGGGUGUGUAGGCGGGUCUUUAAGUCAGUGGUGAAAUCUCCGAGCUUAACUUGGAAACUGCCAUUGAUACUAUUGAUCUUGAAUUCUGUUGAGGUGGGCGGAAUAUGUCAUGUAGCGGUGAAAUGCAUAGAUAUCGUAAGGAAGACCAGUGGCGAAGGCGGAUCUCUGGACAGUUACUGACACUGAGGCACGAAGGCCAGGGGAGCAAACGGG
rnacentral:rRNA from 1 species